UAGAGUUUGAUCCUGGCUCAGAUUGAACGCUGGCGGCAUGCCUUACACAUGCAAGUCGAACGGUAACAGGUCUUCGGAUGCUGACGAGUGGCGAACGGGUGAGUAAUACGUCGGAACGUGCCCGAUCGUGGGGGAUAACGGAGCGAAAGCUUUGCUAAUACCGCAUACGAUCUACGGAUGAAAGCAGGGGACCGCAAGGCCUUGCGCGGACGGAGCGGCCGAUGGCAGAUUAGGUAGUUGGUGGGAUAAAAGCUUACCAAGCCGACGAUCUGUAGCUGGUCUGAGAGGACGACCAGCCACACUGGGACUGAGACACGGCCCAGACUCCUACGGGAGGCAGCAGUGGGGAAUUUUGGACAAUGGGCGAAAGCCUGAUCCAGCCAUGCCGCGUGCAGGAUGAAGGCCUUCGGGUUGUAAACUGCUUUUGUACGGAACGAAAAGACUCCUUCUAAUAAAGGGGGUCCAUGACGGUACCGUAAGAAUAAGCACCGGCUAACUACGUGCCAGCAGCCGCGGUAAUACGUAGGGUGCAAGCGUUAAUCGGAAUUACUGGGCGUAAAGCGUGCGCAG
rnacentral:rRNA from 1 species